UACGUAGGGUGCGAGCGUUGUCCGGAAUUAUUGGGCGUAAAGAGCUUGUAGGCGGUCUGUCGCGUCUGCUGUGAAAUCCCGAGGCUCAACCUCGGGCCUGCAGUGGGUACGGGCAGACUGGAGUGCGGUAGGGGAGAAUGGAAUUCCUGGUGUAGCGGUGGAAUGCGCAGAUAUCAGGAGGAACACCGAUGGCGAAGGCAGUUCUCUGGGCCGUAACUGACGCUGAGGAGCGAAAGCGUGGGGAGCGAACAGG
rnacentral:rRNA from 1 species